GGAAAUUAAGAAACUGUUUCUUAACUUUUAACUAAAAAAACUAAGAAUCGGUUCUUAAAAUCCUUAUUUAAGAACCAGUUCUUAGCUUUUUUAGUUAAAAGUUAAGAAACAGUUUCUUAACUUCC
rnacentral:pre_miRNA from 1 species